GAUCCGCACAUCACUAGCACGCGCUAAUGGCGGAUCUGCGUGAAGAGAUGAGCACUGCUGACAACGAGCAAAGUCUGCUAAAACCUCGACAGCAGCUAAUGGGGAAUGAGAGUGGAGCUGACGGUCGUAAAAAGGAGAAGCGUUCAUCUUCCUCAGAUGAACAGCCUCCGGAAAGUAUAAUAAAAAAGAAAAAGGACAGUACUUGUGCACGGAAAUGCACAAAAUGCAGUGCUUGUAAAGAAAAGAUAAAGAAGUUGGAGGAAGACAACCGACGGCUACGUCAACAUUUGGACAGCUUAAGUGAGUUGAAAAGCAUGGUGUGUGAUCUCAAGGAGUUCUUAGAAGUAAGACAGCCUUCUUCAAGCCAUUAAAAUAUAACGCAUCCAUGUGAGGAUGAGGAUCCACGGCAGUUCACCUGGACUCCCUGAUAUGUUCUGAUCUGAUUUGUUCUGUGGCUGCAUUUUCUCUGGUUCUGGUGCUGGCUGCAUCAAUUAUCUCCACCUUUAUUUGUUCACAUUAAAUCAAUUGCAAUUGGAUUCA
rnacentral:lncRNA from 1 species